UAAAUACUCCCUCCGUUCGGAAUUACUCGUCCAAGAAAUGAAUGUAUCUAGAUGUAUUUUAGUUGUAGAUACAUCCUUUUUUGUGACAAAUAAUUCCGAACAGAGGGAGUGUAAG
rnacentral:pre_miRNA from 1 species